UAUAAAAUCAUGGUGAGUGUAUGUAUUGGAACAUUUCCUGUACCUCCAGUUCCCCGUGCAGAAAGACCAAACAGCUUCAUUUACAAUGACAAACGUUACAAGAGCCUUUGUCCUGCUUACCAUGGUAUUGACAUGCACGGCCUAUGAGAUGUACGCCGUCAACGGAGGCCCUUGGGGAAGUUGGACCAAAUCACAAAGAUGCCCUGGGCUGAAAGUGAAAGGAUUUCAAUUGAGGGUGGAGGCCUCCGUAGGGCGAGGCGAUGAUACAGCUCUUAAUGCGAUUGCUCUUCUCUGCGAGCAUCAUGCAACCAUAAUUCCACACUCUGGAAUCUGGGGAUCGUGGGGGAUGGCAAAGUAUUGUCCCAUCGGAAG